GUUGUCUUUAGCUUAUCUGGUAAAGCACUGCACUGUGAAUGCAAUGAACAGGGUUCGAUUCCCGGAGACAACC
rnacentral:tRNA from 1 species